GAGGAGGAGGUGGCACCGUCAGCGCUGGGAUGGCGAGAGAGGAGGACACUGCCAGUCAUCCCCAGAACAGAGGAAUGUAUCAUUCUGAUGGCAAUUUUUGGAAGAUUUCGCAGCAUUCCUGGAUGAACAGAGUGAGAGACAGACUGCAAGACAGCUCCGUAGUUAGGACACUGACCUGGGAUGUAGAUGACCAAGGCCUGAUGAAGAUUAGAGAGAAGGGGUGAAAGAUCAGUGAUCAUGGAUAACUGGGGACCCAAACCUCCAAAUCACUGAAUACU